CCGGGCUCGGCGCUCCGGGAACCUCCGCGGGACCCGCCGGCCGGGCGGCGCAGCCCCUCGGUCCCCGCCGCCUCCCCGCACAGAUACAGCAGGGUUCAGCCAAAUGCAGGGCUGCAGAUGUUCAGUGUUUCCCAGUGUUCUGAAGGCUGAGCUGGUGUCUGUGCCUUGUCCAAACUGCUCCGUUCUCCGCUCCGAGUGGCCGUGCUCUGCCUUUCAUGGGGACUCUCACAUGCAGAAAUCACAGCGUGAGUUUGCAGUUUGGGGAUUAUUUUGUAGCUAAUAUAGUGGUUGUCCAAAAAAAUUGUAUUAUGAAAUCCAAAAAGUCCUGCAGCGGUAGAGGAAGUAGGGAUCCCUCAGAUGGAAGACGGAGAACAUGACAGCCCUUCUGUCACAGUGCUUUUGACAUGUUCAAUUUAAACCAUCCUGAAAGUGUACCAGUAGUGGGGCUCUGUGGUGUGAGUAUUCCUUUCAUAGUUUUGGAACAGUCAUUGUGCAACAGCCUCCCUCCUUAAGAUAAUUAUAAAGCAAUACUAAGUUGCAUUAAAUUAUGUUCUUGUUGCGCAGUUGUUUUCUGUUUGAGGUACAACACAAAAUUCAGCUACAUGUAGUUGUUAUAUUCUUGUAUUACUCUGUAUUUUGCAGAGCUAAUAAAAAUUGCUUCA
rnacentral:lncRNA from 1 species